rnacentral:rRNA from 1 species
AUUGAACGCUGGCGGCAUGCCUAACACAUGCAAGUCGAACGAGAACCUUCGAGUCUGCUGUCGCAUGGGUGCGUAAAGCGUGGAAAUCUGCCCUUGAGUCCGGAAGAACUCGGAGAACUUUGUGCUAAUACCAUAUAAUGUCCUACGACCAUCCAUUUAUCGCCCACGGAUGACCCCGCGUACUAUGUAGCUAUUUGAGGAGGCUAAAACCCUACUCAACGCGAUCGAUGCAUUUAACUGGUCCGAGAGGAUGAUAUCCCACACUGGGACUGAAAACACGAUCCAUACUCCUGCGGCAGGCACCCGUGGCGGAAUAUCUGGACAAUGGGCGAAAGCCUGAUCCAUUGAAUGCCGCGUGAGUGAUGAGAGCCCUACGGUUGUAAAGCUCUUUUACCCCGGAUGAAUUUGACAGUACCUGGAGAAUAAGCUCCGGCUAACUCCGUGCCACCUGCCGCGGUAAUACUUGACGGAGCUAUCGUUGUUCGCAAUUUCUGGGCCUACAGCGCGCGUAAGCCGCAAUUCGCGUCCGAUGUGAAAGCCCUGUGCUCAUCCCCGGAACUGCCUUUGAUACUAGAUUGUCUAAAUCUUGCACAGGUCAUUGCACUUCCAAGUGUAUAGGUGAUGUUCAUAUAUAUUCUGAAGAACACCAGGUGGCAAAUUGCUACUGACUGGACAAAUAUUGACGCUGUAGGUAGCGAAAACGUGGUGGAGCAAAGCGAGAUUACUAUACCCGUGGUAGUCCACGCCGGUACACAAUGCAUGACUAAGCUGUACCGGACACUUGUUCGCUGGGGAUGGCGCAGCUAUAGACAUUAUGCUUAUCCGCCGUGGGGGAGUACUUGUCGCUCAUAUUAGACACUCACUAGGAACUUGUACGGUGGCCCUGCACAAAGCAGUGCGACCAUCGUGGUUUUAAUU